GCGUUUGUGGUUUAGUGGUAAAAUCCAUCGUUGCCAACUUGUGAAAACAAGCAGUUUCGAUGGGCCCCGGGUUCGAUUCCCGGCGAACGCA